GACGAACGCUGGCGGCGCGCUUAACACAUGCAAGUCGAGCGAGAACCAGGACUUCGGCCCUGGGGACAGCGGCGAACGGGUGAGUAACACGUGGGUAAUCUGCCCUCGGUUCCGGGAUAGCCCGGGGAAACUCGGAUUAAUACCGGAUAGCCUCACGAGCCUUCGGGGGAGUGAGAAAAGGUAGCUUUGGCCUCUGACCGAGGAUGAGCCCGCGGUGGAUUAGCUUGUUGGCGGGGUAACGGCCCACCAAGGCGACGAUCCAUAGCUGGUCUGAGAGGACGAUCAGCCACACUGGGACUGAGACACGGCCCAGACUCCUACGGGAGGCAGCAGUGGGGAAUCUUGCGCAAUGGGCGAAAGCCUGACGCAGCGACGCCGCGUGGGGAAGAAGGCCUUAGGGUUGUAAACCUCUUUCAGGUGGGACGAAGCCACUCGGGUUAAUAGCCCAGAGGGUGACGGUACCGCCAGAAGAAG
rnacentral:rRNA from 1 species